rnacentral:rRNA from 1 species
GACGAACGCUGGCGGCGUGCUUAACGCAUGCAAGUCGAGCGGUAAGGCCCUUUCGGGGGUACACGAGCGGCGAACGGGUGAGUAACACGUGGGUGACCUGCCCUCAGCUCUGGGAUAAGCCUGGGAAACUGGGUCUAAUACUGGAUAUGACUCCACGGUGCAUGUCGUGGGGUGGAAAGCCUUGUGCGGCUGAGGAUGGGCCCGCGGCCUAUCAGCUUGUUGGUGGGGUGANGGCCUACCAAGGCGACGACGGGUAGCCGGCCUGAGAGGGCGACCGGCCACACUGGGACUGAGACACGGCCCAGACUCCUACGGGAGGCAGCAGUGGGGAAUCUUGCGCAAUGGGCGAAAGCCUGACGCAGCGACGCCGCGUGAGGGAUGAC